GAUGAACGCUGGCGGCGUGCCUAAUACAUGCAAGUCGAGCGAACGGACGAGAAUCUUGCUUCUCUGAUGUUAGCGGCGGACGGGUGAGUAACACGCGGAUAACCUACCUAUAAGACUGGGAUAACUUCGGGAAACCGGAGCUAAUACCGGAUAAUAUUUUGAACCGCAUUGUUCAAAAGUGAAAGACGGUCUUUCUGUCACUUAUAGAUGUAUCCGCGCUGCAUUAGAUAGUUGGUAAGGUAACGGCUUACCAAGGCAACGAUGCAUAGCCGACCUGAGAGGGGGAUCGGCCACACUGGAACUGAGACACGGUACAGACGCCUACGGGAGGCAGCAGUAGGGAAUCUUCCGCAAUGGGCGAAAGCCUGACGGAGCAACGCCGCGUGAGUGAUGAAGGUCUUCGGAUCGUAAAACUCUGUUAUUAGGGAAGAACAUAUGUGUAAGUAACUGUGCACAUCUUGACGGUACCUAAUCAGAAAGCCACGGCUAACUACGUG
rnacentral:rRNA from 1 species